rnacentral:misc_RNA from 1 species
GAUGAAGAACGCAGCGAAAUGCGAUAAGUAAUGUGAAUUGCAGAAUUCAGUGAAUCAUCGAAUCUUUGAACGCACAUUGCGCCCGCCAGUAUUCUGGCGGGCAUGCCUGUUUGAGCGUCAUUUCAACCAUCAAGCCCCCGGCUUGUGUUGGGGACCUGCGGCUGCCGCAGGCCCUGAAAAGCAGUGGCGGGCUCGCUGUCACACCGAGCGUAGUAGCAUACAUCUCGCUCUGGGCGUGCUGCGGGUUCCGGCCGUUAAACCACCUUCAUAACCCAAGGUUGACCUCGGAUCAGGUAGGAAGACCCGCUGAACUUAAGCAUAUCAAUAAGCGGAGGA